ACAUGCAAGUCGAGGGGCAGCAUAAAUUACUUGUAAUUUGAUGGCGACCGGCGAACGGGUGCGUAACGCGUAUGCAACUUACCUUUUACUAGAGAAUAGCCAAGAGAAAUUUUGAUUAAUGCUCUAUACACUUACUAACUUUCAUGAGUUUGUAAGAAAAGCUCCGGCGGUAAAAGAUGGGCAUGCGUCCUAUUAGCUUGUAGGUGAGGUAACGGCUCACCUAAGCUCCGAUAGGUAGGGGUCCUGAGAGGGAGACCCCCCACACUGGUACUGAGACACGGACCAGACUUCUACGGAAGGCAGCAGUAAGGAAUAUUGGACAAUGGAGGAAACUCUGAUCCAGCCAUGCCGCGUGAAGGAUGACGGCCUUAUGGGUUGUAAACUUCUUUUAUACAGGAAUAAACCUAUCCACGUGUGGAUAGCUGAAGGUACUGUAAGAAUAAGGAUCGGCUAACUCCGUGCCAGCAGCCGCGGUAAUACGGAGGAUCCAAGCGUUAUCCGGAAUUAUUGGGUUUAAAGGGUCCGCAGGCUGUUUGUUAAGUCAGAGGUGAAAUCCUACCGCUCAACGGUAGAACUGCCUUUGAUACUGGCAAACUUGAGUUAUUGUGAAGUAGUUAGAAUGUGUAGUGUAGCGGUGAAAUGCAUAGAUAUUAGAAAGAAUACCAAUUGCGAAGGCAGCUUUCUGGAUCAUUACUGACACUGAGGAACGAAAGCAUGGGUAGCGAAGAGGAUUAGAUACCCUCGUAGUCCAUGCCGUAAACGAUGUGUGUUAGACGUUGGAAAUUUAUUUUCAGU
rnacentral:rRNA from 1 species